AAUUGCUGGUUUAGUGAUCUUUAUUAUUUUUCCUUGUAGUGGCACAACUGACCACUAAGAUCAAGCAUCUGUCCUCUGUUCUACAUAAAAAGGACAAGCAUUCGCGAAAGGGACUUAUAGCAAUGGUGCAGAGACGGAAGAAACUGUUGAAGUACAUGAGACGAACGGACUGGGAUUCUUACUGCCUUUCACUGUCAAAACUCGGCCUUCGUGACAACCCAGAUUACAAGUGUUAAAAUUUUGUGCAAGUGACAUUAUAGAAUUGUGAUCUCAGUACUCUCUCUUUGUUAUUUUCAUUAUGGCAAAAGAGAUAAUGUGGGUUCUCUUAUGAUCUUAUCAAAUCAUAUUGGGGAGGAAAGUUGUUCUAUUAGAGUUUAUUUGUUGCAGGCUGUUUUGGCGAGUAGAGAACAAAAAGGUUGUGGGAUAUUACUUUCUUUGACAUUGUCUUUAUACUUUGAAUGUGAUAAUAAACUUACUUCUCGAA